GACGAACGCUGGCGGCGUGCCUAAUACAUGCAAGUCGAACGCACUCUCGUUUAGAUUGAAGGAGUUUGCUCCUGAUUGAUAAACAUUUGAGUGAGUGGCGGACGGGUGAGUAACACGUGGGUAACCUGCCCUAAAGUGGGGGAUAACAUUUGGAAACAGAUGCUAAUACCGCAUAAAACCUAACACCGCAUGGUGUAGGGUUGAAAGAUGGUUUCGGCUAUCACUUUAGGAUGGACCCGCGGUGCAUUAGUUAGUUGGUGAGGUAAAGGCUCACCAAGACCGUGAUGCAUAGCCGACCUGAGAGGGUAAUCGGCCACACUGGGACUGAGACACGGCCCAGACUCCUACGGGAGGCAGCAGUAGGGAAUCUUCCACAAUGGACGAAAGUCUGAUGGAGCAACACCGCGUGAGUGAAGAAGGUUUUCGGAUCGUAAAACUCUGUUGUUGGAGAAGAAUGUAUCUGAUAGUAACUGAUCAGGUAGUGACGGUAUCCAACCAGAAAGCCACGGCUAACUACGUG
rnacentral:rRNA from 1 species